CAAGUGCUUGUGACAUCAAAAGUCUCAUAGUUACCGGUUCAUCCAAUUAUCAUACCUAAGCCUCCAUCUUCGUUGCUGAAGGCUGAAACCGAGUUUUCAGAAGAGAUGGGACAACUGCGUGAUAUCGGGGGCCUUACGUGUUGCUAAGUUCCAAUUUAUGUGCAGAACUCCUUUUCAAAUUGGAGACACCAUUUAUCUGGGGGAUGGUGUGACAGAGGAACAACAUCUAGCAAUGAUAAAUGAUGAAGUCGAUGACGACGAGUUAAAGUGCAGCGGAAGAGUGCUGAAGGAAAUUUUCAGUGAAGAAAAGUUGGUUCUUGUUUACCGUUACUCAUUUGAAAUAGAAAAGGCCAAAAGCAUCAUUGAUCUUAACGUCAGACCCCCUGUUGAUGCCCAACGAAACGACGUCUCUGUCGGUGACAUAGGAGAUAUAAAUUACAAUUUGCAUGGAAUUGAAGACCACAUCCAACACCAGCGUCAAGGUUGGCACGAUAAUCCCUUACAUGAUUUACACCCUACUUGUGGUGAGGGACCACCAGAAUCACACAUAUCAUCUUCCAACUUGCCACGUCCUAGGAGUCCAGAGAAUGGAAUAAGCAAAGAUGCAACAUUGUUGAAACCAACAUGGGCACAUAUGGAGGUGGGGUCAGAUUACUGGAAAACCGUCAGUAUGGAAAACUGUGACAACAUAAUUAAUCUCUCAUCUGACCUUCACUUCGAAGACAAUUCAACACCUUUGCGCAACAAUGCCUAUAUCGAAAUUGAGGCUUCUUCCAUAGGAUCAAACAACGGUACUGAAGUUAAUCAAUUCCCGACGUAAAGGGGAGAUCAUGUUCAUGGCAGUAACGAGACAGUACCACCUAGAGAUACAAAUGGAAAUUUGGAAAGAGGAGUGGAAGGCCAUCACCCUGAUGAUAUUUACGUUGAUAUGGUCUUUAAAAGCAGAGAGGAAUUCAAACAACAUAUGGCCAUAUUUGCGAUAAGGAAAAAAAUUCGUUUUCAGACCAACCGGUCAUUCCCUGGAGGGAUGGUCCUACGGUGUUUCAGUAGAACCUGCAAUUGGCGAGUCUAUGCGGUGAACUUGAAAAAUACAGAGUUGUAUGAAGUGCGUACAACUACUCUACUGCAUUCUUGUACUGUCGAUGAGCGUUCGGGAUACCAAUCACAAGCAACGCAUACUGUGAUUGGUGGAAUGAUGAAAGCAAGGUUCACAGGUAGAGGAGGGGGGCCACGCCCAAACGAGAUCAAACAAGCAAUGCAAGGAGAUCAUGACGUUUAUAUAUCUUACUGGAAAGCUUGGAAAUUUAGGGAGGUGGCUUUAGAUUACGCAAAGGGAUCAUGAGGGGCUUCACAACCUGUUGCCAGCUUACUUAGAGAAACUGGUUGUUGCAAAUCCAGGAACAAUUACUGAAAUUCACACUGAAUACACUGAAGGAGUGGGACACAAAUUCAAAUACAUGUUCCUUGCACUAGCUGCCUGCAUCGAAGGAUUCGAAUUUAUGAGGAAAGUGGUUAUCGUUGACGGUACACAUUUGAAGGGAAAGUAUGCAGGAUGUUUGUUGACUGCGUCCGCCCAAGAUGGAAACUAUCAAGUUUUCCCUCGAGCUGUGGCAGUGGUUGAUGGUGAGAAGGAAAAGUCUUGGGAGUAGUUUUUCAUGAAACUAACUCAGUUCAUACCAAACCAGGAAGAUGUUGUAUUUGUGUCCGACCGGCAUCCAUCGAUUUACUAUGGUAUCGCAAAGGUCUAUUCAAGGAGUGGGCAUUGUGCAUGCAUUCUACAUCUGAAAAGAAACAUAAGAACGUCUUUCAAGGACAAGCACUUGGGUUACCUCGUCGGGAAAGCAGCCCGGGCAUAUAGACUCUCGGAAUUCUACACAACAUUUGCAGAAAUAAAACGGGUUAAUGCUUCAUGUGCAGAUUAUCUGGUAGGAAUCGAGUUCGAGCAUUGGGCGCGGUCUCAUUUCAAAGGAAAACGUUUCAACAUUAUGACAAGUAAUGUAGCGGAAACAUGGAAUGUCGUGUUACGUGAAGCCAGGGAGUAUCCUAUACUCUCACUAAUAGAAUUCAUAAUGAACUGGUUUAGUGUAAGAAGGGAUCUGCCAAACCUUGGAGAUAAUAGUCUCACACCACGCGUACAUGAAAUUGUAACUGGAAACUUUGAGAGUAGUGGGACGUUUGGAGUGAGCGUCAUUGGAGACCGCGAGUAGGAAGUGAAAGACAAAACAGGGAAGCAUAACAUGUAAACCUAACAGCGAAAACUUGUUCUUGCUACGAAUUUCAAACACUCCAAAUUCCAUGAAGCCACGCGUUUGCAGCUGCAAUAAGGAACCGAAUACAAGUGGAUUCGUUAGUUGGCGACUGGUAUACGGUAAGAACAUAUAGGACGGCGUACGCUGCAAUCAUAACCCCAGUGGUAGAACACGAAAGCAUAGAAAUCCUUUCCAGCGACGUCUCAGGUAGCCAAAUUGCAGUGAAUCCGCCUGCAAGCAGAAGGCCACCGGGUAGGCCAUGUAAAACUGGCUUUUAUCAAGGGGAGGGGGAAUACCAGGUAUAUUUAACUUUCUUCAAUAACUUAAUAGAAAUUAAGUUAAAACCAUGUAACCCAUUGAAUGCAGAUGAGAGGAGCAAGGAAACGAACAAUGUGUGGUAGAUGCAAGUGUUACGGUCAUAACCGAUCAACAUGCAAAAUGCCUAUCUAGAACCUUGUUAUGCUUAUGUUAUGGAAAGAGAAAGCCUUGGAUGAUGAAAGUGUAUGCAAGUUUGGGAGGUUUAUUACAAUAAGGCUGUAAAAUAUGUGAUGGGAAGUGG